AGGGUUGGCAUGAGUGGCUUAAGGCAGCGGUUUGCGAAAUCGCCGUAGGCUAACACCUACCGUGGGUUCGAAUCCCACACCCUCCA
rnacentral:tRNA from 1 species